UUUUACAGGGUCAGUCAUAGUAGUAUGAUAGGUGUUGUUUUACAGGGUCAGUCAUAGUAGUAUGAUAGGUGUUGUUUUACAGGGUCAGUCAUAGUAGUAUGAUAGGUGUUGUUUUACAGGGUCAGCCAUAGUAGUAUGAUAGGUGUUGUUUUACAGGGUCAGCCAUAGUAGUAUGAUAGGUGUUGUUUUACAGGGUCAGCCAUAGUAGUAUGAUAGGUGUUGUUUUACAGGGUCAGCCAUAGUAGUAUGAUAGGUGUUGUUUUACAGGGUCAGCCAUAGUAGUAUGAUAGGUGUUGUUUUACAGGGUCAGCCAUAGUAGUAUGAUAGGUGUUGUUUUACAGGGUCAGCCAUAGUAGUAUGAUAGGUGUUGUUUUACAGGGUCAGUCAUAGUAGUAUGAUAGGUGUUGUUUUACAGGGUCAGUCAUAGUAGUAUGAUAGGUGUUGUUUUACAGGGUCAGCCAUAGUAGUAUGAUAGGUGUUGUUUUACAGGGUCAGUCAUAGUAGU